rnacentral:rRNA from 1 species
AGAGUUUGAUCAUGGCUCAGGAUGAACGCUAGCGACAGGCCUAACACAUGCAAGUCGAGGGGCAUCGGGGCGAGGAGCAAUCCUUGCCGCCGGCGACCGGCGCACGGGUGAGUAACGCGUAUGCGACCUGCCCGUUGCAGGGGGAUAAUCGGGAGAAAUCCCGUCUAAUACCGCGUAAUGCCGCGGGGCUGCAUGGCCCUGCGGCCAAAGGAAGCGAUUCCGGCAACGGAUGGGCAUGCGUGACAUUAGCUAGUUGGCGGGGCAACGGCCCACCAAGGCGACGAUGUCUAGGGGUUCUGAGAGGAAGGUCCCCCACACUGGAACUGAGACACGGUCCAGACUCCUACGGGAGGCAGCAGUGAGGAAUAUUGGUCAAUGGGCGCAAGCCUGAACCAGCCAAGUAGCGUGAAGGAUGACUGCCCUAUGGGUUGUAAACUUCUUUUAUACGGGAACAAAUGUGGGUACGUGUACCUAUUUGCGUGUACCGUAUGAAUAAGCAUCGGCUAACUCCGUGCCAGCAGCCGCGGUAAUACGGAGGAUGCGAGCGUUAUCCGGAUUUAUUGGGUUUAAAGGGAGCGUAGACGGGAUGUUAAGUCAGUUGUGAAAGGCUGCGGCUCAACCGCAGCACUGCAGUUGAUACUGGCGUCCUUGAGUGCGGUUGAGGUAUGUGGAAUUCGUGGUGUAGCGGUGAAAUGCUUAGAUAUCACGAAGAACCCCGAUUGCGAAGGCAGCAUACUAAGCCGCUACUGACGUUGAGGCUCGAAAGUGUGGGUAUCAAACAGGAUUAGAUACCCUGGUAGUCCACACGGUAAACGAUGAAUACUCGCUGUUGGCGAUAUACAGUCAGCGGCCAAGCGAAAGCAUUAAGUAUUCCACCUGGGGAGUACGCCGGCAACGGUGAAACUCAAAGGAAUUGACGGGGGCCCGCACAAGCGGAGGAACAUGUGGUUUAAUUCGAUGAUACGCGAGGAACCUUACCUGGGUUUAAAUGGGAAAUGCCGUAUUUGGAAACAGAUAUUCUCUUCGGAGCGUUUUUCAAGGUGCUGCAUGGUUGUCGUCAGCUCGUGCCGUGAGGUGUCGGGUUAAGUCCCAUAACGAGCGCAACCCUUACCGUUAGUUGCUAGCAUGUAAUGAUGAGCACUCUAACGGGACUGCCACCGUAAGGUGAGAGGAAGGCGGGGAUGACGUCAAAUCAGCACGGCCCUUACACCCAGGGCUACACACGUGUUACAAUGGCCGGUACAGAGGGCCGCUACCAGGUGACUGGAUGCCAAUCUCAAAAGCCGGUCGUAGUUCGGAUUGGAGUCUGUAACCCGACUCCAUGAAGUUGGAUUCGCUAGUAAUCGCGCAUCAGCCAUGGCGCGGUGAAUACGUUCCCGGGCCUUGUACACACCGCCCGU